rnacentral:rRNA from 1 species
UUUUCAGCCGCCGCGGUAAUACGUAGGGUGCGAGCGUUAAUCGGAAUUACUGGGCGUAAAGGGUGCGCAGGCGGUUCCGCAAGUCAGGCGUGAAAUCCCCGGGCUUAACCUGGGAAUGGCGCUUGAAACUACGGGACUAGAGUGUGGCAGAGGGAGGUGGAAUUCCACGUGUAGCGGUGAAAUGCGUAGAGAUGUGGAGGAACACCGAUGGCGAAGGCAGCCUCCUGGGUCAACACUGACGCUCAUGCACGAAAGCGUGGGGAGCAAACAGGAUUAGAUACCCCCGUAGUCC